rnacentral:rRNA from 1 species
GAUGAACGCUGGCGGCGUGCCUAAUACAUGCAAGUCGAACGAAGCCUUCGGGCUUAGUGGCGAACGGGUGAGUAACACGUUGGUACCUACCCUCUAGUGGGGAAUAACUGGCCGAAAGGUCGGCUAAUACCGCAUAAUACCGCAAGGUUAAAGCAGCAAUGCGCUAGAGGAGGGGCCUGCGUCCCAUUAGCUUGUUGGUAGUGUAAUGGACUACCAAGGCGGCGAUGAGUAGCUGGAUCGAGAGGUUGACCAGCCACACUGGGACUGAGAUACGGCCCAGACUCCUACGGGAGGCAGCAGUAAGGAAUCUUCCACAAUGGACGAAAGUCUGAUGGAGCAACGCCGCGUGCAGGAUGACGGCCUUCGGGUUGUAAACUGCUUCUAUAUGGGAAGAUUAUGACGGUACCAUAUGAAUAAGGACCGGCUAACUACGUGCCAGCCGCCGCGGUAA